CGCACGGGUGAGUAAUAUAUAGGUAACGUGCCCCAAAGAAGAGGAUAACAGUUGGAAACGAUUGCUAAGACUCUAUAUGCCUUUAAGACUUAAGUCUGCAAGGGAAAUAUUUAUAGCUUUGGGAUCGGCCUGUACAGUAUCAGUUAGUUGGUGAGGUAAUGGCUCACCAAGACAAUGACGCUUAACUGGUUUGAGAGGAUGAUCAGUCACACUGGAACUGAGACACGGUCCAGACUCC
rnacentral:rRNA from 1 species